rnacentral:misc_RNA from 1 species
UUUCCGUAGGUGAACCUGCGGAAGGAUCAUUAUUGAAUGAACAUGGGCAAAGUUGUCGCUGGUCUCAGCAAUGGGACAUGUGCACGCUUUGUUCAUCCACCUUCACACCUCUGUGCACUUCUCAUGGGAUUGGGUUGCGCUUGAAAUAUAGCAAGACCCCCUCUCAUGUGUUUUAAUCACAUACUACAAGUUUUAGAAUGUUACAAUCAUGCGUCAAUGCAUAUAAUACAACUUUCAGCAACGGAUCUCUUGGCUCUCGCAUCGAUGAAGAACGCAGC